ensembl:lncRNA
GGAAAUUCCAUGCCCUUCCCACAUACCUUGCCCUGUGCAUCCACGUACUGAGAGGAUGACUCACCCCAACUCAGCAGCGACAGAAGCUCCUAUGCUCAGGACCUUCCCAGACUUCCCCCAAGUGUCUCUUCAUCUGGUUGUUCAUCUGUAUCCUUUAUCACAUCCUGUCAUAAACUGGUCAAGCCCAACCCUUUGAGGUGGGUCCUGUUAUCUCCAAAUUAUAGAUGAGAAGACUGAGGGUCAGAAAGGAGCUGUUGCUUGGAACAGGUUAACACAGAACUCAACCCCAGGACCAAACCCAGAGGGGACUUAGGAAAAGCCCCCCAGCAUGAGACUGUAUGUUUUAGUUGUGGGUCCUUCUAGUUGUGGCAUGUGGGACGCCGCCUCAGCAUGGCCUGACGAGCAGUGCCAGUUCUGCGCCCAGGAUCCGAACCAGCAAAACCCUGGGCCACUGAAGCAGAUCAUGUGAACUUAACCACUCGGCCACGGGGCCGGCCCCAAGAAAUAACUUUUGAAAAUUUAAAACAUGCUUGCCAUAAUAAAACUUGCAAUAGAUGGUUUGGAAAAUAAAGUUGGUGAAAUCUCCAGAAUGUGGAACAAAACGUCAAAAAGAAAAAUAUAUGAGAGGAGAGAGGCUACUUAAAGAAAUAAUUCAAGAAGUUCAACAUCCAAACAGUUGGCAUUCUGGAAAGAGGAAAGAGAAAAACAAAGGCAAAAGAGUUAUCAAAGAAAGAAUCAAAGAGAAUUUCCCAGGGGCAUGGGAUGGCCAUGUGGAGGCCCUACUGUAUGUCAUGUACCACGUGAUACCGGGGCUGUAAGAGACACAGUCCUGCCACAUGGUGCCGAGAGUCUUGGGAGACAGAGAGACAGAAACCAAGAAGUUGCACAAAUUAAUGUAAAAUUGCAACUAGAAUACACAUCACAAAGAAGGCUAUGGAAACUUAGGCCAGAGAAGGGUCUCUGAGACAGGGACAUCUGAGGCCAGAAGUAAUCAGGCAGGAGAGGGAGGGAGGAAUGUUUGGGGCAAGCGGAACAGCAUCUGCAAAGACAGUGUGGCCAGAGGGAGCAUGAUGAGCUUGAGGAGCUGAAAGAAGGCCUGUGAGGCUGGACUACCAAGAAGCUUCCUAGGUGUUGUGGUGGGUAAGGGGUUGGGCAGACCACACAGGGCUCUGAGGGCCCAAGAGCAGUAAGAAGCCAGGUCUUAGAAACCAAAGCAGGUCCCUAGGGAGAAAGGAAAUGCUUUCUAUUCCUUCUGGACACCAGGACCAAGAAACAAAGCACAAGUUAAACCCUCAGCAGCUACCUCUCCACUCUGGUACUUGGUGGGACAUCCAGGUCCCCUGGAAGAAGCGAAAUCCGGCCUGGCCCUGCAAACCACAAGGGGGUGCUGUGAGGCUCAAACCAGAGAAAGGCUGGCAACCUAUCCCUUAGACAAAAUCACAGGUACCCUUGUCCUAAAAGCUGGGAUGGAGGACUGGUGACUGAUGGGGUGAGCUGGAGGAGAGGUGCUCAGACUGGUGGAUGCACAUUUAGGCAGUUUCUACUUUCCAUGCAUGAGUGCCACUGCGAUGCAUACAUAUUUAUGCAGUCAUUUUGCGCAUCUGAUUAUUUCUUUAGGAUCAAUUUCUAGAAAUGGAAUUUCUGGUGCAAACAGAUGGAAAGUUUUUAGGGCUUUCACCCUACAGCACAGUGGAACCAAUUUACAGCCCCAGCAGCAGAAUGAAGAUUAGCCCUGAGCUAACAUCCACUGCCAAUCCUCCUCUUUUUGCUGAGGAAGACUGGCCCUGAGCUAACACCCAUGCCCAUCUUCCUCUACUUUAUAUGUGGGACACCUGCCACAGCAUGGCCUGACAAGUCCACACCUGAGAUCACAGCCGGGGAACCCCAGGCCACCGAAGUAGAGCCCUCGAACUUCAAUACGACACUGGAUCUGCCCCAAAGUUGCAUUUCUUUUGUUACUAUUAUUGUUACAAAUGGCUUCACAUGUUUACUGAUCAUUUACACUUAGUUUUAAAUCACAUGUCUGUUAUGCUCCGUGCCUAUUCCUACUGGGGUGGUGUCUUUUUCCUAUUGAUUUGUAAUGAUAUCAACACUUUUUCAGAUAUAUAUUGAAUUGUCCUAAUUUAUCCUUUGCCUAUUAAUUUUGUUUAUGAUUUUUUUGAUGCACAAAAUCUUUUUGCUGUCAUAUUUUUCAAUCUUUCCCUUAUGGUUUCUACUUUUGAUAUUAAACUUAGAAUGGCUUUCCCCACAUGGACAUUAUAUGAGUAUUUUCCUCUAUUAUCUUUUUGGUAUCAUUUAUUAUAUUUAAUUCUUUAUCCCGUUUGAAAUUUAUGUUAGUAUGUGGUUUGGGGAAAGAUCAAAUUCUUAAUUUUCUAAGCCAUAUUUAUUCAUUUCCUACCCAUUUUGAAAUGCCACAUUUGUCAUAUUCUGAAUAUUUAAAGUACACCUUGGGGGGCCGGGCAGGUGGCGCAGCGGUUAAGUGCACACGUUGCGCUUUGGCGGCCCAGGGUUUGCCAGUUC